CCCCUAGAUGUUCUGGGCCGCACGCGCGCUACACUGAACAGUUCAACAAGUCUUAACCUUGGCCGAUAGGUCUGGGUAAUCUUUGAACGCUGUUCGUGAUUGGGAUAGACCUUUGCAAUUAUGGGUCUUCAACGAGGAAUUCCUAGUAAACGCAAGUCAUCAGCUUGCAUUGAUUACGUCCCUGCCCUUUGUACACACCGCCCGUCGCACCUACGAUUGAAUGGUCCGGUGAAAUCUCGGGACGGCGGCUUGGUCGCUUGCGUCCGACUGCUGAAACUUGAUUAAACCAUAUCAUUUAGAGGAAGGUGAAGUCGUAACA
rnacentral:rRNA from 1 species